rnacentral:rRNA from 1 species
UAGGGAAUCUUCGGCAAUGGACGAAAGUCUGACCGAGCAACGCCGCGUGAGUGAAGAAGGUUUUCGGAUCGUAAAACUCUGUUGUUAGAGAAGAACAAGGACGUUAGUAAAUGAACGUCCCCUGACGGUAUCUAACCAGAAAGCCACGGCUAACUACGUGCCAGCAGCCGCGGUAAUACGUAGGUGGCAAGCGUUGUCCGGAUUUAUUGGGCGUAAAGCGAGCGCAGGCGGUUUCUUAAGUCUGAUGUGAAAGCCCCCGGCUCAACCGGGGAGGGUCAUUGGAAACUGGGAGACUUGAGUGCAGAAGAGGAGAGUGGAAUUCCAUGUGUAGCGGUGAAAUGCGUAGAUAUAUGGAGGAACACCAGUGGCGAAGGCGGCUCUCUGGUCUGUAACUGACGCUGAGGCUCGAAAGCGUGGGGAGCAAACAGG